CACAGGUUUGGUCCCAGCCUUCCUAUUGACCCUUAAUAGACUUACACAUGCAAGCAUCCACACCCCAGUGAAAAUGCCCCCCCAAGUUAACUAAGACUAAGAGGAGCUGGUAUCAAGCACACAUCCGUAGCUCACGACACCUUGCAUAGCCACACCCCCACGGGAGACAGCAGUGAUAAAAAUUAAGCCAUAAACGAAAGUUUGACUAAGCCAUAUUAAUCAGGGUUGGUAAAUUUCGUGCCAGCCGCCGCGGUCAUACGAUUAACCCAAGUUAAUAGGCAUACGGCGUAAAGCGUGUUAAAGCACUAUACCAAAUAAAGUUAAAUUCCAAUUAAGCUGUAAAAAGCCAUAAUUGCAACAAAAAUAAACAACGAAAGUAACUUUACAGCCGCUGAAACACGAUAGCUAGGACCCAAACUGGGAUUAGAUACCCCACUAUGCCUAGCCUUAAACACAAAUAGUUAUGUAAACAAAACUAUUCGCCAGAGUACUACCGGCAAUAGCUUAAAACUCAAAGGACUUGGCGGUGCUUUAUACCCUUCUAGAGGAGCCUGUUCUAUAAUCGAUAAACCCCGAUAAACCUCACCAUUCCUUGCUACUACAGUCUAUAUACCGCCAUCUUCAGCAAACCCUAAAAAGGUACAAAAGUAAGCACAAUCAUAAUACAUAAAAACGUUAGGUCAAGGUGUAACCUAUGGAACGGAAAGAAAUGGGCUACAUUUUCUAAUCUAAGAAAAUCCAACACGAAAGUUAUUAUGAAACUAAUAACCAAAGGAGGAUUUAGCAGUAAACUAAGAAUAGAGUGCUUAGUUGAAUUAGGCCAUGAAGCACGCACACACCGCCCGUCACCCUCCUCAAGUAGGCACAAUACACUCAAACUUAUUUACACGUAUUAAUCAUAUGAGAGGAGAUAAGUCGUAACAAGGUAAGCAUAAUGGAAAGUGUGCUUGGAUAAAU
rnacentral:ncRNA from 1 species